UCGAGUGGAAAGGGAAAGAAGCAGCACACAGAAAAAGAAUGUGUGUCAGAGGGAGAGAGAGAGAGGGAGGAAAAAAAAGGAGGCGUGUGCGCGCAUAUGCCUCGCCAAUUCUUUAGGUAAAGCACGCUGGCCCGCAAUCGGCACAGAAGAACGAGCAGCAGCAAUGUGGAGGAGGGAUUCAGUUGCGCUGGCAAUGGGGGCACCUUUGGAAGACCAGGUGAGGGUCCGACCGUCAGGGAGAAAAAAUUAUUUACCUGAUCGCUAAUAGCCGACCAAGGACUUGAAUCACUCAGCAGUAGGUAAACACUCCCGCACCGCUUGCUUCCAGCAGCAAUUGCAAUCUCAAUUAAAGCAAACUCGAAGUAACUUGGUAUGACCCGGCGCGCACUUGGCCGGCCAGCCGCUCGCGCCAGGAAGAUCCGAGCGCUGCCACCUCGGUACCAAAACCCAGCAAGCCGGUGGCUCGGAGGGGCUCUUACCUCGAACAGGGGCCCGAUCUUGUUCCUUUCCAGCUCUCGCCCAGCUGCUGCUCUAUACUUGAGAGGCAACCGUGACGGAGGAGGGGGAGAAUCACCCUUUCGAAUAGCAAAGAGGGUUUUAUUAAGGGAAGGAUGGGAUCCGUUAACCCCAUUUGGAGUUACGUUUCUUUUUUCCUCGGGUGCUAGUAUCGGUGGUAAAUACGCACCUCCCGUCCAAGUGGCACCUCAGAACUGUCCCGUAACUGUUACUGUAGUGAAACCUUCGAUUAUUUUGAGAUUAAACCCCACUGACGUCUCUAGCUUUGUUUAGGAAUAAGAAUUGUAUGCCUUUUUUUUUUUCCCUAUACAAGGAUAACUUCAUUUAUUUGAAAAUUUAUACGACUGCCCAGCCCAGGCUUCCAAGGAAAUUAAUACACAAGUAACACAGAGGUUGAAUAAGGAGAAAACAAGUAAUUUAUCAGCAGAAUUCAAAAAUCGCAUCAAAAGAAUCCUUAUAACAGUAUAUCAAUACUGACGCAAAAUAAAUACUGUAAAGCCAAGAUUGUACAACCAUUAAUAUAAUGUGUGAACCAGUUUUUUUUUUAAUUGUUGGACAAGCUUUAAUGGCCUGGUUUGAAUAUGAUACUUAAGUAAUAUUGAUGGAUUUUCCAAAGCUAAAACAAUAAAACUACAUUUUGGUUCAGUGUGGUCAGUAUCACUGGCUAGGUUUAUAUAUCGAGGUAAGCCAUAACAUGGUUCAUUCGGUUUUAGUUUAGAAUGUUGUGGGAAUCUAGCCAUUAAAGUAUAUCAAGCACAUUUUAUGGCUUAGUGUUUCUUUAACAAAAUAUAGUUAAAGAAACCACAAACUUAGCACAAUGUGAGAUCAAUUACUUGUACUUUGUCCUGUGGUGGUGAAAAUGUUUACUUUUAGUCUGUAGGGAAAAUAAUGGAUCUGUUCUGCUGUAGGUGUUUGGAAGCUGUUAUUUAUACAUCCAUUUAUUGGGACAUACAAGCUGUGAGAUUCCUAUAUUUUGUUCUUCAUGAAUUCCAACUCUGUGGGGGAAAUGGGUAUUGUGAUACAAUUAUCUUUUUACCAUUUUCUUUUUUUCAAAAUGUUUCAUAUUCUGGUGUGACAAUAUCAAAAAGUGUUAUCAUUUAACAGUCAUAUAAGUUGUUUUUGUCAAUUAGGUGAAAGCAAUCCCAAACACUUUGGGAUUGAUAGAUAUAUAUGAAAUGUUGAGAGUGUAUCAUGGGCUCUUUGGAUAAACGUUCCUUUAUUUAUAGUACAGCUGCCCUGAGGGAUAUAUAGCUAGUUAGAAAAUACUAGAGUUAUGCACAGCAUUGAUUCCUCAGAGCACUGACACAGACUCAACCUUUGGAAGGCUUAGCAAAGCUACUUUGAUUGGUUUUCCAGAUUGAUUUUUAUGUGCAGCCACAAACAGCUUCCUGCGAGAAUGCCAGUAAACUGAAGUGGCUGCAUGGAUUCACUGCAAAAACGAUCAAGAACGGCCUUUGAAGCAACCUAACCAAACUUUUGGAAGGCUUAGUAGCCUCAGUGUUUCAAGGACUUUUAAUAUCAAUUCCCGUUGCAAAGUGCCCCUUCAAAUGUUGUGCACAGCUAAGGCACUGAUUUGCCAGAAUAGUUCUGCCCUUGGAUUCCUCCAAGGGGUUGUCUUUUCUAUGAUGAAGAUGUAAUAGAUUUUAGGAAAAAUUAACACAAAGGUUUAAGGCUUGGCCACUGGUAGUUCAUUUUUUGUUAGAUAGUUCUGCUAUGAGAGCCACAAUAGCUCAGUGGUUAAAGACGCGGAGUUUGAGACCUGAAUGUUGUACAACGGAGUGAGCUCCCAUUCCUGCCCCACCUCCUCACCACCUAGCAAUAUGUAAAUGCAAGAAGAUUAAUAGAUACCACUUUGGUGGGAAAGUAACAGCAUUCUGUUUCUUUCAUGUAUAGCCAUGCUGGCCACAUGACCAUGGAAAAUGUCUUCAGACAAUGCUGGCUCCCUUGGCCAAGAAAUGGAGAUGAGCACCAUGCCCUAGAGUCGGACACGACUGGACAGGGGGGGGAAUAUUAACCUUUACCUUUAUUUUUCUUAUAGUGAACUAGGGAGGAAAUCAAACAGAAGUGUGUGUGCAAAGGUUAGAAAAGAUAUGAUGGCUGCAGCACAUAUCUGUCAUAUUGCCAAUCUGACACAUGAUUGCCACCAGCGGAUACCAAUGAAGUUAAAAUUUAAGGAUAUUAAAGUGUAAUUAAUUAGAUUCCCCAAAUUUGGAGUUCGUCUGUUUAGGAAGAACUUUGUAUAUAAUAUGUGCUGACUGUGCAAAAAAGGUGACUAUAUAUACUUAGAAGGAUACAUACAUGGCUGACUGAAUUGGCUUAUUGAAAGUUAUAAACUCUCAGCCUCUGGAACAGCUAUAUAUUAGCUGACAGAUAAGAAUAGAUAAUAUAAUUCCAUGUGACCUGGGUUUAACUUGUCAAUUAAAAAUUGACUAUACUAUAAUAGUUUUACUCGUUGAAAUUGUUGUAAAAAAUGAGAGAUAUGUUGUGGAUUUUAUUUAUGACAGGUCACUUAACAACUGUUCAAACAGACUGCCCAAAUUACUUACAACACUGUUUCAAAGUUAUAAUGGCUGUAGUCACCCUGCAGUCAUUUGCCCAUACAAAUGACCAUGGGGAUACUGCAGCAUCCCCACACCUCUUUCUUCCUCCAUCAGGACCCUGCUUUGGCCUGGGCUGUAUAGUUUUAAACUGCAAAGCAUUUGGAUUUGUGUCAGUCAGCACAGAUUCACUAAUAUCAAAACGGUGAUUGUAUUUCAAUUGUAAUAAAAAAAUACAGGUCGUCUAACUA